rfam:Salmo salar isolate Sally breed double haploid chromosome ssa16, whole genome shotgun sequence.
GCUUCGUUAGCGAGGUAGGUAGCGCGCCAGUCUCAUAAGCUGAAGCUUGUGAGUUCGAUCCUCACACGAGGCA